GGAUUGGCUUGGGGAGCCGGCGACGGCACCCUAUUGNUGAGAAGCUGAUCAAACUUGGUCAUUUAGAGGAAGUAAAAGUCGUAACAAGGUUUCNGUAGGUGAACCUGCGGAAGGAUCAUU
rnacentral:rRNA from 1 species